UCUUGUCAAAUUCAAUUUUCUUUUUCAGCUCGAGCGAAUAUUCUCUAAGAAGAACAUCAGAGUUGCUUGUGGAUGUCACUAAGCAACGGGAAGAAUCUGGUUUUAACAUGCCUUGUCUCCUAGCUGCAGCUAAGCAUGAUCUCGGUUCAUAUCCACUGGCUAGUGGCUAUGAAAGAGUCAGCAAAAGUAUUCAGUUGCUACUCAACCCUACUUCCUUGCUUCUGGAACUCAUGCAAUGAGACUUGAAGUGCUUACCUGGACACUUCACCCACACAGAACAAUGUGAAGAAAUAAAUGAAUUAUACUCUAUAUGUUUCCUAUUCCAUUUCAGAUUUAAGCACUUUUUAUAAUUCUGUGCAUUCACUAUUCACGUAAGCAUGAAAGAAAGAGAUCUUAAUAACGUGUUCUCUAAAAUUGUGAAUGUGGCUGAGAAGCCCCAUUUAAGUUUUCCAGAAACUGAUGCUGGUCGGAAUCGGAAGCGGUACUGCCAGCUCGUUAAUCACUCUCUUAUAUUUGUUUCAGAUAUCUUUUAUAUACAUAGUAAUAUUUAUCUGAGCUUUUUGGCGCUAAAGGGGACCAACUCCUGAGGAAAUUGUAGUGAGUUUAGUGACUAGGGUGUUGUGGGAGGGAUCCCACAUCCAACAUAUAUCAAAGUUCUAUUAUACGUCUUUAGAUCAUUUAUGUUGUAGGUUAUCAGUUACCUACUAGGCACCCUUAAUAUAAUUAGUGUUGUCCUUACCUGAAACCAUAAUGGUAAAAUUCCCAGUUCUUGAACCACGGAAACAUCAAACAUGUAUGCAUGCACAAAGAUCUACAUUAAAAUAGUGGGAACAUGAGAUUCAAUAUGAUUUUGCAAUGCAUGUGCCUUUUUUCUUUUACUCUUCAGGGUAAAUUGCAUGCUAUUACUCUCUUCAACGAAAAAUUGCAGUUGCCGCGGCAAAUGCUUUUGUUGGAAUGGCUGCCUACAGAGCCUAUGUUACAAGGGAGAACUGCGCCAGUUAAAUCUCCUCAUUUCCGUACACGAAUUGGCUAAAUUGCAUCAUUUCAAAUGACAUAAUAAAAGCCGGUGGGUAUCACAUACCCCUCUUAUCAUUUUAUGUUAUCAUUGUUACGUACGUACUCAACCAUAUAGUUUGUACAGAGUGCGUGCUUGCUCGUUUACUGCCAGUGCUGAAAUUUUUUACUGAAAAUCAUCAGCUUCGCUAUAACUGCAUCAAUACUGUCUGUAUAUAUAACAAAUAUGUGCAGUGGGGUUAGCUAUUUUUUGGAAAAUUGGCGCGCACACAUUAACAGUUUGGAGACCGAACAUUCUAAUUUCUCCUAGUUUUCCAGCUUUAGUCUUUAAAUCAUUAUAUUGCAGUUAAUUGCCUAAGAAGUUAAUAAACAAUUUAACAUGGCAGGUUUAGGCUAAAGGGCAUUAUAGGGUAUAUCCCUCUGGAUUCAGGGACUGGACUUGAUCUAAGGGGCUGUGAUACCUUAUAUGACAUGGCUGCUCACUUUCUUUAGAAGGGCCAUGCUUGAAAUUGCAGAAUUUGGAGGACACGAAUGGCACUGUUAAAUGGACUGUUAAUGAUGUGAGUGCUCUUUUCUGUUAAUGAAUGCUAUUUUGGAAAAAAGAUUUUUGUCUUUCCAGUGGGGGGACUUUAGUGAGGAUUUACUCGUUUAAUCGUUCAAAAUUGACUCAAGACAGGUACAAUGGAUUUGGCACGAAUUUUAUUUGAAUAUACACAAGCUCGACCCAAAUUCAUUACGCUCAUUUUGAACUGUUGUAUGAUUUCAAGUUGAGUAAGAAUAUUUCGAGCAGGUAUUAGUCGGGAAAGAGUACCCACCAAUGAAUUGGGAUUUGAGAGGGUGUUUGAGCCCCCUUUUUAUGGAAAAAUGAAUUUUAGAAUAGUAGAUUGAAGGAGAAUAUGUAGAUAAAAAAUAAAAGAAAAUUUUUGAUUUUACGUGUAAUAGUAUUUUAAUGAAGAAUGUG
rnacentral:lncRNA from 1 species